rnacentral:misc_RNA from 1 species
AAAAGAGAGAGAGAGAGAGAGAAGCUGCUAGACUGCACAGGGUUUUACAAGUAUAAAGCAUAAAAAGAUUUUCAUAAUGUCUAACCUCUUUCAAAUUAAAUUACUGUACAGAUUUAACUGCACUACGCUGCUCCAAAAUUCUAAAACUCAAGUAUGCAAAUAAUCACAUGCAGCUCCUUUUAUGCAAUGCCCACUUUCAUGGUACU